UCAGAGGGGCCUCAUCCUGGGGGACUCUGGCAACGGACGACCAUCUCCUCGGACUCCAUGCUGACAAAAUGACCGCCCAGGAGGCAGGGACUUCAGGUUCUGCUCCCAUCUCAACAGGAAAUACAGCGUGCGGGUUCCGUUUGAAUCCGGACUCGCCAUUACGAGCUCUGUGACCUUCGGGACAUUGUUGAACUCUCUCUGUGCCUCAGUUUUCUCAUCUUUAAGAUCACCAUCAAGCUGUUGUCACAAGGCAAUAGUAGUCCACAGGCAGAGCUCAACUAUGGCUGCAGGUAUUCCCCCCACACUGCAGGCCACCCAGACGUGGGCUGGUGCUAUCUCUGUUUGUAACUCCAGAGGGUGUCGCUCACAUCUACCCGAUACCUGACACGUCACUCUGGAUCUUCGUACGGCGUGCCAAAUCUCUACUUGGCCUCUAGACCUACCCAACAACCUACGGCCUCAAUCCUGGACUGCGCUCACAGUAAAUGACGGGAUCCUUAAUCAGAGCACGAGUCUCAGAACGAAAAGGCAAUCAUUUUGUAAAAAUGCUGCUGUGUGCCGUGCAGCUAGAUCUUUACAGUAUGAAUAAAUCGACUUGAGAUUUCCAGCCUCCUCCUCCACCCAAAAAAAGACUCUGGGGAAUGGGGUAAAUGAGCAAAGUUCUCCAUCACAACUGUGCCGUUGACACCAUGACACAACGGUAUGCUUCCCGGGGCGAGAGUAUCCAGCUCUGCCUGCAGAGAUCACAGAAGGCUUCCCAGAGGAGGUGACUUUGGGCUGAGGCCUCAAGGAUCAGUAGGAGGUUGCCAGUCUGACAAAGGAGAGUGAGUGGAAGGACUUCCACGCAGAUGGAGAGACAGAAGCCAAUGCACCAGACACCUUCCAUCAGCCCCUUAAAUGUUCUCUCUUUAUUCUGCUCGGCGUCCCCUGGCUGGAGAGUUUGGCCGAGGGCAUGCUGAAGAGGCGAGUGUGUUUCCUGUCUCAGCCAGGAUCAACUUCCUGCCUGAACGUUAAGGUAUCCACGCAUGGCCGAGGGAGAGACCAUCUGUCUCGUGUCUCUCCUUUUAAGGGCACUAAUUCCAUCAUAAGGGCUCCACCCUCGUGACCUAAUUACUUCUCUCAAGCCCGCCUCCUCAUGCCAUCACAUUGGGAAUUGGAGCUUCAACAUCUGAAUUGCGGGGGGAAGACAAAAAUUCAGGGCAUCGCAGUGAGUUAUAAACAAAGAGCCCCAUCCAGCCUGUUCACCAAAGCUCUUAACAAUGGCAGCCUCGAGCCAAAAAUGCCAUCCUGCCCCCCCCGGGGGUGGGGUGGAGGUGACAGGGACAUAGCUGUCUGUCUGAGUUCCAAUUGCAUGUCCAAAUAGGUCAUUUCUUGUGUCAGGCAUUUCCCCAGAAAGGGCUAGAAGAAAGGGCUUGUCCAACACAGGAAAGUCAGAAUGGAGUCAGUCACAAAGCCAGAGCCCAUGGUCUCAGAGAAGCUGCUCAGAAACACCAGCGCUCUCACCCCUCUGCCCUCACGUCCCCCUGACCUUGGUCUUGGGGUGUCUUUCCAGAUACAGCCAGGGAAAGAUGCAAAGACUAGGAGAACAGCACUCAACUUCCAUGCACAUCAGACCUCAGGGAGCUUGUUGACGGUAUAGACACUGAGGUGGUUAACAAGACCCCCUGGUGGCUCUGAGGCACAGCCGAGUGGGAGCCCCUGGACUAGGGAAAUCUUGAGAGGGUAUAAAAGAAAGGACGGCUCUAGGUGGGGGGUAUUUAUUAUUGUCAUUACUCUUAUUACACUAUUGAAGAAUUGGAUUUUACUGCAAGUGCUUAUGGCCGUCCAGUAAUUGAAUAGUAGUAAGUACCAACCAUGAUAAUGUCACAGGACUUGUACCUACCAUGGACCUGGUUCAUUAGAUGCGUUAAAACACGUCCUUAGGUAAACAGAGCGUGGUGUGUACACACGGUGAGACAACAGUCUGUCUUGACAGUGUUCAGCCUGCUGACACCUGCUACCACGUGGAGGAAACCUGAAGAUCUCAUGCAAAGUGAAAUAAGCCAGACACAAAAGGACAAAUCCUGUAGGACUCCCCUCAUCUGAGGGUCCCAGAGUACAAUUCACAGAGACAGGAGGUAGAAUGGCGGUGGCCAGGGGCUGGGGGAGGGGGAAUGGAGAGUUAGUCUUUAAGGCAAAUGGAGUUUCAGUCUGGGAAGACGAGAAAGUUCUGGAGAUGGAUGGUGGUCGUGGUUGCACGACAAUGUAAAUGUACUUGAUGCCACUGAAUUGUACUUUUAAAAUAGUUAAAAUGGAAUCUUUUAUGUUAUGUAGAUUUUAGCACAAUAAAAAAGAAAUCCAUGCUUGCACUCAAGCCAGGCUGGAGAUGGACUGUGGCCUUCAGAGUCAGGCAGGUCUGUGCAGGAAUCCCAGCUGUCUGAGCGAUCUUUGCCAAAUACCACUUGAUCUUGCUGAGCUUCCACUGUCUCUUCUGUGACACGAGGAAGAGGGGGCAAGAAGCAUCUUGAGGGGCUUAUGAUGGCAGUUAUUUCACAGACAUCAUCUCAAGUCACUGUCCCACAGCCCUGGGAGGUGGGUGGGUAUUAUUAGCCUCAUUUUG